rnacentral:rRNA from 1 species
AUUCCAGCUCCAAUAGCGUAUAUUAAAGUUGUCGCAGUUAAAAAGCUCGUAGUUGGACUUCUGGCAGGGCGCCGCGUGCCACAGUAGUGCGCACAAGGGCCCGGCCAUCCUUCUGUAAGCGUCGGGGAAGUUUAUUCGUCCGCGGCGGGAUCAGUUAAUUUACCUUGAGAAAAUUAGAGUGUUUCAGGCAGGCGUAGCCGGAAUACAUUAGCAUGGAAUAAUGGAAUAGGACUUAGUCUCUUUGUUGGUUCGAGGGACUGGAGUAAUGAUUAAUAGGGAUAGUUGGGGGCAUUAGUAUUUAUUAGCUAGAGGUGGAAUUCUCUAAUUUGAUAAAGACUAACUUAUGCGAAAGCAUUCGCCAAGGAUGUUUUCAUCG